rnacentral:rRNA from 1 species
AACGAACGCUGGCGGCAGGCUUAACACAUGCAAGUCGAACGCCCCGCAAGGGGAGUGGCAGACGGGUGAGUAACGCGUGGGAAUCUACCCAGUUCUACGGAAUAACCCAGGGAAACUUGGACUAAUACCGUAUACGCCCUACAGGGGAAAGAUUUAUCGGAAUUGGAUGAGCCCGCGUUGGAUUAGCUAGUUGGUGGGGUAAUGGCCUACCAAGGCGACGAUCCAUAGCUGGUCUGAGAGGAUGAUCAGCCACAUUGGGACUGAGACACGGCCCAAACUCCUACGGGAGGCAGCAGUGGGGAAUAUUGGACAAUGGGCGCAAGCCUGAUCCAGCCAUGCCGCGUGAGUGAUGAAGGCCUUAGGGUUGUAAAGCUCUUUCAGUGGGGACGAUAAUGACGGUACCCACAGAAGAAGCCCCGGCUAACUUCGUGCCAGCAGCCGCCGCCGUAA